AGAAGGAAAAGCACAGGUUCUUAACGAUGUCAAAACAGAACCAAGAACCGAAGGUCCUGCUGUAGUGUCUGAUAGUGUUAAUACACUAUUAUUUACUAUAGGCAUGCAUUUUAUAGGAUCUGCAAGUCUGUAUAUGGAUAGGUCACAAGAACAGUUAAUGAACUUGAGGUGUCCAGAUCUGUCUCAUUUCAAAUGGUAUAAAGAUACCUUCUUU
rnacentral:misc_RNA from 1 species